rnacentral:rRNA from 1 species
CAGUAGCGCGGUAAUACGUAGGUGGCGAGCGUUGUCCGGAAUUAUUGGGCGUAAAGGGAGCGCAGGCGGACAUAUAAGUCCAUCUUAAAAGUGCGGGGCUCAACCCCGUGAGGGGAUGGAAACUGUAUGCCUUGAGUGCAGGAGAGGAAAGCGGAAUUCCCAGUGUAGCGGUGAAAUGCGUAGAUAUUGGGAGGAACACCAGUGGCAAAGGCGGCUUUCUGGACUGUAACUGACGCUGAGGCUCGAAAGCCAGGGGAGCGAACGGGAUUAGAUACCCGCGUAGUCCCUGUCUCUUAUACAC